UAUCCCAGCAUGCAUCUCUGCUCACUCAGACCACACCCCCAUGAGUAGGAUGCAACACUCUUGGGAUGGAGAUGUAGUGUUUUAUAAGUAACGAGGGAGCAGAUUUAGGGGAUUAGAACGUAAUGGAAUGUCAAGUCUGUAAAUCUUUAAACCAUGAAGAUGGUUGGAAAAGUCAGGAAUUGGGCUUAUUUUUAAUAUGGGCAGUCCUUUCACAUGGAUGCUCACUUCUCACUGGAAAUGUACAUGCGUUGGCUGGCUGGCAUGAUUUGCUGUUGGUGAUGAGGCGGUCAGGGUGAAGUUGCAGGGCUAUGGUCGGCUCUCUGUGAGCUCAACGUUUAGAUUUUCUCUGUAUGGUUUGUACCCUGAAUAAUCUAGAUAAUUGUAAAAUGUAGACACAGUUUUGCAUUGAAUGAUUCCAGGAUUUUAGGUUUAAAGUUGUUGUACAUGGUAGUUUGGUUCUUCGUAUGGUUUUGAGUGAUUAUAACUUGUACACACUGGGUGCAUAAUAAUGUAAUGUUACACUGAAUAGUAUUAAUGACCAACAGCAACAAACAGAUCUCCUCAAGGUAAGUCUGUUGGCUGUAUUUUAUUGAAGACCAUCGCUGGACUUCAGGAUCUUCCUCCGUUCAGCUCAAGGUGAGGCGCUGGUUAUGUUUUUUCUUUAGUUGGUUCCGGCUGGAAUGUUCGGAUUCCAGUCGGACGGUUUGUGCUUCCCGCCGUGGAAGGUUCUGAGUGCGGUCACUUGAUUUAGUCCCAAUGGUUAGCAUAGAAAGUUGUAGUCUUGACAACCAUAAGAACAUUGACACGAAUUUCGUCCAAUAUGUUAAUUUCCGAUGGUUGCGCCGUACUUUUAACCACGUUGACGGGACUCUCGCUGCGUACAAAACAGCGUUCUACUUGCGGCCCAAAUUUUGACAUCGGUGAAGGCUGAAAAUCAUUUCAAGGUGGAAGACAAUUUGACAUUUCUUCAAAGGAACCCAGCACCUGAAUAUGAGUUGAGUAAAUUUGAUUUAAUAUUGAUACUGCUUAGUGUUCAUUGUUACUUCACUGUUACUUGCUGAUAUAAACCUCCUGCUGUAGCUCAAAGGUGAGGCUGAGAGGCUUGGGACCGGAGGCUUGUGGUGCCAGGAUGGACCGGAGACUGAGGCUGGAGACCAGGGGCCUGCAGCACCGGACCAGAGGACCAGGAAUCCAUGGCUGAAGGAGCUGAUGGAGGAGCCGCGCUGAAGGCCCUGCCUGGUGGAGGAGCUGAUGGAGGCCCUGCCUGGUGGAGGAGCCAUGCUGAAGGCCCUGCCUGGUGGAGGAGCUGACAGAGGCCCUGCCUGGUUGAGGAUGUCUGUCGUGGGGACUCUGGUUUGGAGGAGCUGAUGGAGGAGCUGAUGGAGGAGCUGAUGGAGGAGCUGAGUCGCUGGAGGACGACUAGGAAUCGACCAACAAGGAUUCCUCAACGUGUUUCUGGAGCGGAGGCGAGCUGAUGGGGGAGCCGUGAAUCUGGAGGAUGACGUCAUCCUACCAACAAGGAUUACUAAGACUCUGGCUGAGGAGAGCUGAUGGAGGAGCCAUAAAACCAGGAAUCUGGAGGACUGACGGAGAAGCCGUACAUCUGGAAGGCAAAUCCUGAGGACGAUCAGGACUCUUCCAUCAAGGAUUCCUCACACACCUGAGCUGAACCUCACCUGAUCCUGUUUGGUCGGGGGCAGACGCACCUGAGCUGAACCCCACCUGAUCCGGACAUCCUGCUGGUCCCGUCUCCUCAGUUCAUCUGAGCCUCUUCCUCCAGAAGACAUGCUGAGCUCGGUGGUCUGAGGCUGAUGUAUCAAUGACCUCCAGUGGGAGUGAUCUUCUUGACCCCACAUGUAGCCGUGUGCUUCCACACGCCUUUCCCUCACGUCUGUCACUAACCUCAUUACUUCACUACUCUCUACUCCUUCCCCUUCUUCUUCCUUCUCCGUGGUUCGAACCUUUACUCUGAAGGAGUGUCUCCAUGAACCUUUACACUGAAGGCGCGUCUUCCUGUCCUCAGAGGGUUCAGCGUUAGGGUUGAGAGUCAGGGUUUAGAGUCAGGGACAGAGCUGGUCAGGGAGGGCUGGUUUUACAUAAACCUUUUCACUUGCUUUCUGAAUGGUGGUGACAUUUUGAAAAGAUUAAUUUGGGAAAAUGUUUUCCUCUGCUUUCCUUUACAAAAAUAUGUAUUAAACUUCUGUGUUUGUAACCAGACCAGGUAUCCAUGGCUGAAGGAGCUGAUGGAGGAGCCGGGCUGAAGGCCCUGCCUGGUGGAUGAGCCGUGAUGGAGGCCCUGCCUGGUGGAGGAGCCGUGCUGGAGGCCCUGCCUGGUGGAGGAGCCGUGCUGGAGGCCCUGCCUGGUGGAGGAGCCGUGCUGGAGGCCCUGCCUGGUGGAGGAGCCGUGCUGGAGGCCCUGCCUGGUGGAGGGGCCGUGCUGGAGGCCCUGCCUGGUGGAGGGGCCGUGCUGGAGGCCCUGCCUGGUGGAGGAGCCGUGCUGGAGGCCCUGCCUGGUGGAGGAGCCGUGCUGGAGGCCCUGCCUGGUGGAGGAUGUCUGUCGUGGGACCAGGACUCUGUCUGAGGAGAGCAGAUGGAGGAGCUGAGAUGCUGGAGGACAACUAGGAAUCGACCAACAAGGAUUCCUCAACGUGUUUCUGGAGCGGAGGCCAGCUGGUACGGGAGCCGUGAAUCUGGAGGAUGACCAUCACUCUACCAACAAGGAUUACUUUAGGGCCAGACUCGCGCUGUUUGUUCCAGACCAGGACUCUGCCUGAGGAGAGCUGAUGGAGGAGCCAAGACUCUGGAGGACAACAUCACUCCACCAACCAGGAUCCUCACCAGGAAUCUGGAGGACUGAUGGAGAAGCCGUACAUCUGGAAGGCAAAUCCUGAGGACCAGCAGGACUCUACCAUCAAGGAUUCCUCAUAAGUUUGCAUUAUCUGGACAUAGUGGACAAGACACACCUGAGCUGAACCUCACCUGAUCCUGUUUGGUCGGGGGUAGACACACCUGAGCUAAACCCACCCUGAUCCGGACAUCCUGCUGGUCCCGUCUCCUCAGUUCAUCUGAGCCUCGUCCUCCAGAAGACCUGCUGAGCUCAGCAGUCUGAGGCUGAUGGAUCAAUGACCUCCAGUGGGAGGGAUCUUCUUCUUGACCCCACUUGUAACCGUGUGCUUCCACACGCCUUUCCCUCACGUCUGUCACUAACCUCACUACUUCACUACUCUCUACUGCUUCCUCUUUUCUUCCUUCUCUGUGGUUUAAACCUUUAUACUGAAGGCGCGUCUUCCUGCCCUCAGAGGGUUUAGCGUUAGGGUUGAGAGUCAGGGUUUAGAGUCAGGGACAGAGCUGGUCAGGGAGGAAUGCUUUUACACAAACCUCUUGACUUGCUUUCGGAAUGGUUGUGACAUUUUGAAAAGAUUCAUUUGGUAAAAUCUUUUCCUCUGCUUCCCUUUACAAAAUUGUAUCAAACUUCUGUCAAGUGUUUUUGUUUAAAUAUUAAAAUCCCAC